GAUGAACGCUGGCGGCGUGCCUAAUACAUGCAAGUAGAACGCUGAAGGAAGGAGCUUGCUCUUUCCGGAUGAGUUGCGAACGGGUGAGUAACGCGUAGGUAACCUGCCUGGUAGCGGGGGAUAACUAUUGGAAACGAUAGCUAAUACCGCAAAACAGUAGAUGUUGCAUGACAACUAUUUGAAAGGGGCAAUUGCUCUACUACCAGAUGGACCUGGGUUUUAUUAGCUAGUUGGGAAGGUAACGGCCCACCAAGGCGACGAUACAUAGCCGACCUGAGAGGUGGUCGGCCAAACGGGGAAUGAGGCACGGCCCCGGAUCAUACGGGAGGCAGCAGGAGGGAAUCUUUGGCAAUGGACCGAAGUCUGAACGAACAACGCCGGGUGAGGGAAUGAGGGUUUCGGAUCGUAAAGCUCUGUUGUAAAGGAAGAACGAGUGUGAGAGUGGAAAGUUCACACUGUGACGGUAUCUUACCAGAAAGGGACGGCUAACUACGUG
rnacentral:rRNA from 1 species